CACCUCUNCCAUUNNNNGUAUNAGAGGCACUGCCUGCCCAGUGACAAAUAAGUUCAACGGCCGCGGUAUCCUGACCGUGCGAAGGUAGCAUAAUCACUUGUUCUUUAAAUAAGGACUAGUAUGAAAGGCUUGACGAGGGUUUAACUGUCUCUUACUUACGGUCAGUGAAAUUGACAUCCCCGUGAAGAGGCGGGGAUAAAAUAAUAAGACGAGAAGACCCUAUGGAGCUUUAAUUUAUUAAUUCAUUUUAACUAUAUAAAAUCAAUAAGAAUUAAGAAACAAAUUGUGAAUUAAUAAUUUUGGUUGGGGUGACCUCGGAGAACAACCUAACCUCCGAAUGAUAAUAGUCUAGACCCACAAGUCAAAGCUACCAUCAUAAAUUGACCCAGAAGCAAUCUGAUCAACGAACCAAGUUACCCUAGGGAUAACAGCGCAAUCCUAUUUAAGAGUUCAUAUCGACAAUAGGGUUUACGACCUCGAUGUUGGAUCAGGACCCCCAAAUGGUGCAGCCGCUAUUAAAGGUUCGUUUGUUCAACGAUUAAAGUCCU
rnacentral:rRNA from 1 species